UUCGGGUCACAUGAGUGAGUGGCGAACGGGUGAGUAACACGUGAGAAACCUGUCCCGAAGACUGGAAUAACCCGAGGAAACUCGGGCUAAUACCGGAUAUCCCCACCGGAUCACAUGGUCUGGUGAGGAAAUGCUCCGGCGCUUCGGGAGGGUCUCGCGGCCUAUCAGUUAGUUGGUGAGGUAACGGCUCACCAAGACAUCGACGGGUAGCUGGUCUGAGAGGACGAUCAGCCACACUGGGACUGAGACACGGCCCAGACUUCCUACGGGAGGCAGCAGUGGGGAAUCUUGCGCAAUGGGCGAAAAGCCUGACGCAGCCACGCCGCGUGAGGGAUGAAGGCUUUCGGGUUGUAAACCUCUUUCAGCAGGGACGAAAAUGACGGUACCUGCAGAAGAAGCUCCGGCCAACUACG
rnacentral:rRNA from 1 species